UAUUUUUGCUAGAUAUACUAUUCUAGGGUAAAAGUGUUGUUUUUUUUUCUUCAGUACUUUACAUAUAUCACGUGACUCGUGUCUGGCUUGUAAGGUUUCCACUUAAAAGCCUGCUGCCAGACAUAUUGGAGCUCCUUUUUCUGUUACUCAUUUUUUCUUUUCUCCUGCUGCUUUUAGGAUCCUUCCUUUAUCCUUGACCUUUGGGAGUUUGACUAUUAAAUGUCUUGAGUCAGUCUUUUUUGGGGUUAAAUCUGGUUGGUGUUGUAUAACUUUCUUGUACUUGAAUGUUGAUAUCUUUCUCUAGGUUUGGGAAGUUCUCUGAUAUUAUUCCUUUGAAUAAACUUUCUGCCCCAAUCUCUGUGUCUAACUCCUCUUUAAGGCCAAUGACUUUAGAUUUUCUCCUUUGAAGCUGUUUUCUAGAUCUUGUAGAUAAUUUUUAGAGUGCUUUUUCUUUUGUCUCCUCUGAAUAUGUAUUUUCAUAUAACGUGUUUCAAGCUUAUGAAUUCUUUCUUCUACUUGAUUAAUUCUGUUGUUAAGGACUCUCGUGCAUUCUUCAGUAUGCCCAUUACAGUUUUCAGCUCCAAAAUUUUUGCUUGAUUCUUUGUAGUCAUUUCAAUCUUUUCAUUAAAUUUAUCUGACAGAAUUCUGAAUUCCUUCUCUGUGUUAUCUUGGAUUUCACUGGGCUUCCUCAAAACAGCUAUUUUGAAUUCUCUGUCUGGAAAGUCACGUAUUUCUGCCCCUCUGGGAUUGGCCCCUGGUGCCUUUUUUAGUUCCUGUGGUGGGUAAUGUUUUCUGUGGAUAGUCUUGAUGCUUGUAGAUGUUCACUGAUGUCUGGGAAUUAAAGAAUUAGGUAUUUAUUGUAGUCCUGGCAGUCAGGGCCUGUUUGUACCCAUCCUUCUUGGGAAGGCUUUCUAAGUAUUUAGACAGACUUGAGUGUUGUGAUGUAAGUCUUUAGUCAUUGCAGCCAUAUCUGCAUUAGGGAGGACCCCAAUCCCAGUAACACUGUGGCUGUUGCAGACUUGUAUAGGUAUCACCUUAGUGGUCUUGGGUAAGAUCCAUGAGAAUCCUCUGGAUUAUCAGUCAGUGACUCUUAUUCUUUUCCCUUACUCACCCAAAAACAAAGAGAGUCUGUCUCUCUGUGCUAAGCUGCCUGAAGCUGGGGGUGUGCUGACACAAGCACCCCCUGUGGCCAGCACCACUGCUAGUGCACUGGAUCAUACCCACAGCUAGCAGAGAACUGGGUCUCACCUCAGGCCUAUGGUGACCACUGCCUGGUUCACUCAAGGCCCAAAAGCUCUACAAGCAUCAGGUGGUAAAUACUGCCAGGCUUAUGUCCUUCUGCUUAGGGCAAUGAGUUCUCCCUGGUCUUGGGAGAGUCCAGAGAUGCCACCUGGGAGCCAGGGUCUGGUGUCAGGAACCUUACAAAUCUACCCGGUUUUCUAUUCUACUAUGGCUGAGCUGGCCCCCAAGCCAUGAGACAAAGUCCUUAGUCUUCCCUCUCCAUUACUUAAAGAGAGGAGGCUCUCCCUGUGGCCCCCACCACCCCAGGCCUGUGGUGAGUACUGGCUGGCUACUGCCAAUGUUCUAUCAAGGCCUAAGAGCUCUUCAGUGAGUUUAUGGUGAAUGCUGCCUGCCAUGAGUCUCUCCCUUUAGGGCAGUGGGCUUCUCUCUGGCCCAGGGAAGGUCCAGAAAUGCCAUCCAGGCGCCAAUACCUGGAAUCAGGGACAGUAGGAACCUACUUGUCACUCUAUCCCAGUGAGGCUAAGCUGGUAUCCAAGCUCCAAGAUGAAGUCCCCUUUACUCUUCCCUCUUUUUUCUUCAAGCAAAAUAAGUCUUUUCCUGUAGCCACCACAGCUGGGAAUAUGCUGGGUCACACCUGAAGCCGCCAGCAUGGCUCUGAGUCUCACCUGAGGCCCGUGGUGAGUCCUGCCUGGCUACCACUACUGAUUAUUCAGGGCCCUAGGGCUCUUUAGUCAGCAGGUGAUUAAUCCUGCCAGAACUAGGACAUUCCCUUCAAGGUAGUGAGUUCCAUUCUGGCCGAGGGUGUGUCCAGAAAUAUCAUCCCAGAGCUACGGCCUGAAGUAGGGGCCUCAGGACUCUGUCUGGUGCCCUAUUCUACUAUGACUGAGCUGGUAUCCAAGUUGGAAGACAGUCCUUUUCACUGUCUCCUCUCCUGUCCUCAGACAGAAGAAAAGUGUCUCUCCUGGACCUGGGAGCUGUGCUGCCUGGAGUGGGGGAAGGGUGACACAAGCACUCCCUUGGCUACCCUAGCUGGUGUCUCACCAAGUCACAUGCACCCUAAGCCCACUGGCUCCAAGCCCAGCACAACACCAGGACUUUCCGAGGAAUUGCAGUUCUUGUGGCCCAGAUUGCCUUUUAAGUUUAUUUCAGGACCCCAGAGCACUUUAGCCCAUGGUGGUGGGGCUUGCCAGAACUCAGGCUUUGACUGCUACGAUUAACAACUUGCCUCUGGCUAGGGCUGGUCUAAAUGUUCACUCCAUGUGCACUGGCUGAAUUCUGUCCCAUGUUGCUUUCUGCUGUGACAGGGCAGCACUGGGUUCCAAUGCAAAGUCCCACAGUCACUUUGCUCUCCCUCCCCCAAGCACACAGGAUUCUCUUUCCGUGCCAUGUGGCUGCUGAUAAGGGUCAUGUGAUGUAGGUGAUUCAAAAUUCUCUUUCUUACCCUCUUCAGUGCCUCUUUCCUUGAUAUAAAUUUAAAACUAGACACUGUAAUUGCUCACCUGACUUUUGAUUCUCAUAAAGGUGGUUUUUUUGUAUGUGGAUAGUUGUUUAACUUGUUUUUCCUGCAGGGGGAUCUCCAGAGGGUUCUAUUUGGCCAUAUUUGUCUGCCUCAUCCCCUAUAUUACCUAUUAGUUUUGCUGGUUCCAUCUCAUGGCAUCUUUUCUUCUUGUGUGCCUGAUUAUCUUUAAUCAUGUGACUUAUCCUGUUAUCAAACUAUUAUUUUUAGAAAUAAUUUGCGACCCAGGAAGAGCUUGUCUUUCUCUAAGGAGUAUUUUUAAAAAAUAGGUAGAUUAUGAUAGUAUGGGGGAGAGCUAGCAAUUUGAACUCAUCUUAAUCCUAGUUCAGGGUUUGAUAUUUUCUCUGUUACCCAGAUAGCUUGAAGGUGGCAUACAGUCCAUGGAAAGACUUAUUUCUUUUGAGUUUAUUCUCUUUUCUAAGAUGCAAACAUUCAGGGUGCAAAAUGGGAGGUUGUUUUCUAAGAUCCUCACUCUCUAUUGCCUUCGAUUAUGAUCUUUGCACUUUGUCCUUUAAGCUAUCUCCAAAGCAUAACUCUGUCUCUCAGUUAUCACUUCCAGAUUGAUAAAUGUCCACAGGACAAAAGCAGUGCCAACUGUGGGGCUCACCUUCCUGGAUUCCUGUCUUCUUCCUAGAUCUUGGCCUGUGAAACAACCUAGUGAGAUCCAGGACAGCAUCCAACUUAUAUUAGACCAACUUUCCUCCCUAUGACAUUAAUAGCUGGGGUAUGGAUCUGUCCGAGUGACAUGUAAACUCCAAUCAAAUCACCAACUGGCCUCAGAAAUGCACACAUACAAGGACAUUUGUGUACUCACUGCUCAAUCGAGGGAGGCCUUAUCCAGCUGUACUCAUUUUCAGAGGCAUUGCCUUCUGCGCUGGAAAUGGAUUCCUUCAAAGCUACUAUCUGAUUUACUGUGCUGAAUACCCUGAUGGGUGGUACACAGACAUACGGUUUUGCUUGGGUGUCUUCUUAUUUAUUUUGGGAAUGGGAGUCAACAUCCAUAGUGACUAUAUAUUGCGCCAGCUCAGGAAGCCUGGAGAAAUCACCUACAGGAUUCCACAAGGUGGCUUGUUUACAUAUGUUUCUGGAGCCAAUUUCCUCGGUGAGAUCAUUGAAUGGAUCGGCUAUUCGCUGGCCACUUGGUCCCUCCCAGCACUUGCAUUUGCAUUUUUCUCGGUUUGUUUCCUUGGGCUGCGAGCUUUUCACCACCAUAGGUUCUACCUCAAGAUGUUUGAGGACUACCCCAAAUCUCGGAAAGCCCUUAUUCCAUUCAUCUUUUAAAGAAACCAAAUUAAAAAGGAGCAAAGCUCCCAUAACGCUGAUGAAAACUGUCAAGCUGCUGAAACUGUAAUUUCCAUGAUAUAAUAGUCCUCCAUAUAUAUAUAUGUAUGUGCAUAUAUAAUAGUAGGUCUCCUGGCGUUCUGCCAGCUGGCCUGGGGAUUCUGAGUGGUGCCUGCUUAGAGUUUACUCCUACCCUUCCAGGGACCCCUAUCCUGAUCUCCAACUGAAGCUUCAAAAAGCCACUUUUCCAAAUGGCAACGGUUGCUUCUUAGGUAUUGCUCUGAGAAAGUACAAACUUCUCCUAUUUCUUUCACUGGGCAAUCCAAGUACACGUGGCUUCAUACCCACUCCCUGUCAAUGUAGGACAACUCUGUAAUCAAGAAUUUUUGGCUUGAAGGCAGUGCUUAUAGACCUUAUUAAAGGUAUGCAUUUUGUACGCAUACAGAGUAGCAGAGAUUUAAACUCUGAAGCCACACAGACCCAGAGCAAACCCACUCCCAAAUGAAAACCCCAGUCACGUCUUCCUUUUCCUUGGUUAAUUAGGAAAGAUGAGAAAUUAUUAGGUAGACCUUGAAUACAGGAGCCCUCUCCUCCUAGUGCUGAAAAGAUACUGAUGCAUUGACCUCAUUUCAAAUGUGUGCAGUGUCUUAGUUGAUGAGUGCCUCUGUUUUCCAGAAGAUUUCACAAUCCCUGGAAAACUGGUAUGGCUAUUCUUGAAGGCCAGGUUUUAAUAACCACAAAGAGAAAGGCCUGACCCUGGAUGGCUGCUGGGAGAGUAGAGAACAGCAUGAUCCUGGAUGGCUACUAAGAGGAUAGAGAACAGUUUUACAAUAGACAUUGCAAACUCUCAUGUUCUUGGAAACUGGUGGCAAUAUCAAAAAAAAAAAAAAAAAAAAAAAAAAAAAAAGUGUAAAAAAAAAAGAGUUAAUGAUGAGGUUACAUGCUGCUUGCCUUCACCAGAUGUCCACAAUGAUGUGAAGUACAGCAGAAGCCCCAAGCAACUUUCCUUUCCUGGAACUUCUUCAUUGUAGUUCUCAGAACCUGUUCAAGAAGGUGUCUCCUAGGGGCAGCUUGAACGCCUCCCUCAGAUGAGCUGCAGGCAGAGGCUGAAAGUUGCACACAUCUGGGCAGAAAACCUGUUUUGUUUGCCUCAGACAUUUUUUUGUUUUUUACAAAGUUUCAAAAACUUAAAAAUUAAGAGAUUCCUUCAUAAAACUCUGGCAUUCUAAUUUCAUUUAAAAAGUUGGAGGAUCUGAGCAUACAGAGCCCGCAUUUCCACACCAGAACUGGAACUACGUAGCUAGUAAGCACUUGAGUUUGCAAACUCUUGUGAAGCGGUCACCCCGGCAUGGGUGCUGAGAUAUGGACUCUCUAAGGAAGGGGCCGAAUGCUUGUAAUUGGAAUAUAUGGAAAUAUUUGUCUUCUCAGGCCUGUGUUUGUGGAAUGCAUUGUCAAUAUUUAGCAAACUGUUUUGAGAAAUGAGCACCAGUGGUAUUAAGUAUAGCAACUCACUAUAUAAGUCACAUAGGAAACUUGGAAGGUCUGAGGAUGAUGUUGAUUACUGAAAAAUACAGAUUGCAAUCAUAUAAAUAAAUGUUGUUGUUCAUUAAGUACCUUAAAAGUCAUGGAUGUUAAGUAAUUUUGUUUGAAUUAAAAUAUCCUGGGACUUCUGGAGAUUUUCACAAGAUAUUGAGGUGUGCUUCUCUGUCCCUCCUUCCCCCGUUCACAUUCACCCUGUCUGUAGUGUCGUUUCCUUUCUUCUCUUCUCUCUUCAUGAAAUUAGGGGCUGUGUGCUGGAAAUAAAGAGGUAUGACGUAUAGAGCCUCUCAGCCACAGUUCAGAACUACAAGGAAGUACAAUAAACGUGCAGGAAAAUGUCCUGAGGAUAGAUGCCACUCCUGGAAUACACAGGGAGAAUGAAUACACUUGGUGAAAUAAAUCUUCAGGUGUAGCUUGAGCUCUGAGACACAAAAGACUUCCAGUUCUCUCCAUGACAUUGAAAACUACCUUGCCUAAGUCCUUUAUUUUACUAACAUGUAAAACAUCCAGGCCGAUCCUUGAGAUGAAAUAAGUGUACAAUAAAUGGCAGUACUCACAGUCUCAGAACAAAACUGCCAUUUGGCAAUUUCAUUUUUUUGCCACAAGAGGGCGCUUUCUAAAAUAGUAUUUAGUCUAACCUUGACUUAAUUAGGUAAUUAACAUAUUGGGGGGACCCCAGUCCUGUUGCCUGAUGGUGGACCUUUCAAGUUAGCAUGAUUGUGGAACUUCUUCAUUUGAAUAUAGGGCAGGGUAGCGUGAACUCUAUGAAAGCUGAAACCUUCCCUUGAUAAUUCAGGUAUUCUCAGUGUUCUAGGGCUGUUGUGUUCAAUGACAGUUUGUCAUUGUUUAGGGCUAGGAUAUGUAUGUGGAUUAAAUACAGUAAAGGUCUGAGCGUGUGCUCAUCUCUAAACAUAUUUCUUCCCACUUUUAAAAAUAGAGUGCAACAAAAUUAUAGUUAAUUGAGGUUUCCAUGGAGUGUUUUUUGGUUAAAAUAGUCUUAACAGUGUCCUAGCUCACAAGAUACUCUCUCUUGGUCUUGCUGAAGCUUUCACGGAAGAGACGUUUUCCUGCCAACCUUGAAGAAAAUGUUGAGUUUUGCUUGUUUUUCAGAAUUUAGACUUAAAGAGCUGAAGCAGACCUCAGACAUCAGCUAUUCCGACCACUUCAUAUGAUAGGUAGUGACAUUGAGACCCACAGAGUUCAAAGGCCUCCUCACAGCUGGGACAGAGCUGGUCAGAGCAGCCAUCUCAUUUUGUCCCUUUAAGGGUCAGAAGUAUGUUUUUUUCUGCUUAAGCCACAGCCUUUAGGGCUGCCAUCUGGAUUUCUACAGAACUCAUGCAGGAGAAAAAUAGCCAGAGCUUAAGUGCUGUUGCACAAUUCAGUUUGUACACCUAUUGUCCCAUGCCUGUGUGUGUGUGAGGCUUCCCUCGCUCUGUGGAAGCAUCAGGCGCUGCCCUUUCCUAAACCCAUUUGACAGAAUAGAGAGUUUUCCCUCAUUGGUGUGGUCAAGACAACAUGUGUGUUCAGCAUGGAAAAAGGUUUCAGGUCAUAAACCCCUUUAUCCCUAAUGCUUACUUUCAUAAAGAACAACACUGGCUCCACUGUAUUCUAAAAGGAAAACGGAGCUCUAAUGAGAAAUACGCAAUUAAACAGCUAUUUAGGCAGCUUAGACCCUUUCAGGAACAAAUAAAUAAAUCCGUGGUUUUACAACCCUGAAGUUUGAUAAUAGCUGUCUUGAAUUUUUGUGGUUACCUCAUGGCAAUCUCACUAAGAAGCAGGGGAGCAAGCUCUUGGCACAUGAAGGAAUAGAUUCAUGAAGAUUCAUUUCCUUUCCCGCUUGGCCUUUUGGUUCUCUCAUAAGCUGUGAGCUGAGGUCCACCCAGGGAAAACAAGGAGGGUAAUGGCAAAUGUAAAGUGAAUUUUUCUGGAGAAGGAUGCUGAUUAUUUUAUAGCAUCUACACUAUCCUGUGAUGAAAGAAAGAGGCAUAGAGCCAGGUGGCAACGUGAAUUCUUGGGUGAUUUAAUAAGCCAUUGAGUGGAUUUAAUUUCUAAGUAAGAGAUUUGUUCAUUCUUUGUGCAAGUCCAUGGAGUUGUGAUCUUAAAAAGUUCUGUGUUAUUUGCAUUGUGCCUCAUUUCUCCCCAUCAACCUUGGCUUGAGAUUUGGAUGAAUAAAAUAAAUAAUCGGAGAAGGUUAAAGUA